GAUGAACGCUGGCGGCGUGCCUAAUACAUGCAAGUCGAGCGAACAGACGAGUAGCUUGCUUCUCUGAUGUUAGCGGCGGACGGGUGAGUAACACGUGGAUAACCUACCUAUAAGACUGGGAUAACUUCGGGAAACCGGAGCUAAUACCGGAUAAUAUUUUGAACCGCAUGGUUCAAAAGUGAAAGACGGUCUUGCUGUCACUUAUAGAUGGAUCCGCGCUGCAUUAGCUAGUUGGUAAGGUAACGGCUUACCAAGGCAACGAUGCCUAGCCGACCUGAGAGGGGGAACGGCCACACUGGAAGUGAGACACGGUCCAGACUCCUACGGGAGGCAGCAGUAGGGAAUCUUACGCAAAGGGGGGAAGCCUGACGGAGCAACGGCGCGGUGGUGAAGAAGGGCUUCGGAUCGUAAAACUCUGUUAUUAGGGAAGAACAAAUGUGGAAGGAACUGUGCACGUCUUGACGGUACCUAAUCAGAAAGCCACGGCUAACUACGUG
rnacentral:rRNA from 1 species